CCUACGGGAGGCAGCAGUGAGGACUAUUGGUCAAUGGACGGAAGUCUGAACCAGCCAUGCCGCGUGCAGGAAGACGGCUCUAUGAGUUGUAAACUGCUUUUGUACAAGGGUAAACCUGAAUACGUGUAUUCAGAUGACAGUACUGUACGAAUAAGGAUCGGCUAACUCCGUGCCAGCAGCCGCGGUAAUACGGAGGUUCCAAGCGUUAUCCGGAUUUAUUGGGUUUAACGGGUGCGUAAGCGGGUUGAUAAGUUAGAGGUGAAAUGUCCGAGCUUAACUCGGGAACUGCCUCUAAUACUGUUGAUCUAGAGAGUAGAUGCGGUAGGCGGAAUGUAUGGUGUAGCGGUGAAAUGCUUAGAGAGCAUACAGAACACCGAUUGCGAAGGCAGCUUACCAAUCUAUAUCUGACGUUGAGGCACGAAAGCGUGGGGAGCAAACAGGAUUAGAUACCCGAGUAGUC
rnacentral:rRNA from 1 species